rnacentral:ncRNA from 1 species
AUAAACUCUGGGAAUGCAAGAAAAAGUUCAGCCAACGGUUCAGAGAGAAAGACGCUUGCUGAGAGUCUUUUCCGCUUGGAGACUUUGGGUCGUGCAGGAGGGGCGGGGAUGAAUCGAGUAAUCCUUGACGGUUUGCCCGUUAUCGCAAUUAAGUGCAAGAGCUUUGCUUAGUAAGCGGGGUUCUUGAAAAAAGGUGGUACCGCGAGUUCUUCGUCCUUUAG